UCGUCUAUUCGAGCUUAACUAAUGAUAUAAUAAAUAAUAAUACAUUUUUACUAAUUAGAGCCUUAGGAGCAGAUGAGCCAUUCGAGUUAGUAUUAAAAAUAUAAACACAAAUGGAGAACAGUCUAAAUUAUAAAGCGACUGGAGAACUCCGGAUUCAUGGGAAUGAUUAAUAUCGGCGUAACACAGAAAAUAUAUGAAUAUUAAAAUUAAUUACCUACUAUCGAGAACAUGCAUUUGUGUGAGUACCGGUCGGCGACAAAUAUUACACGACUAUUAUGGGCCAUCUUCUACUUAAAAGAGUGACGCGACAGCGUGUCAUAUAAUAAGUAUAAAUUUGUCUAUGAUACCGGUACAGACAUGCCUAAGAAAUACAUUAUACACAUGUGAGUUCACGUAGAAUACAACGGCAAUAAGCAAAGAGCAAAACCUCACCUACCAUUUUCCAUACAGAAUAAAAUGAAGAACGGUUUAAAUGCUAUUCAUCGUUAUGUGUUUAAAAUAAUUGGUUUACCUAAUCUAACAUUUACCUCGGAGUUACGUCUCGCGUCAUACAGUAUAGGUUUGCUGAAAUUUUAGUACAAUUAUACCACAAUGAGAACGGCUUAAAUUUAAUACAAAUUUGCAAGACUCCUGAUGGACAUCAGGAAAUAAUUAAGAAAAAUGUACUAUGUUUCUGGAUAUAAAGAAAUAUAGUGGAGUUACUGGAAAACCCAUAUUUUGAGGACAUUCUGGAAACCAAAAGAAGAACACAAAGUUACUUAGUUUUUUACGCAUUUGAUUACGGUUCACGUAUAAUGCUUGCCAUAUAUGACUCGUUUGGAACAUCAAAGAGAUGACGGAGGCUGGGGUCUUGUCAGGAAAUUCAAUUUUAGUCCUAAAAUUCGGAAAUUUGAGGAGAGAUAAAAACAACACACUAAAAGCUCUCUCGUUUUCACUUCGCUCACCUUUAAACGUACACACACACACGUAAGACGCAAUGCACCGUACGUAUUUACAUUUUACAAUAAUUAUUGUUUU